CAGUUAGGGGCAUGAUGUACUACCGAAGAGCUUUAAAACUUCAGGCUUUUCUUGACAUGGCUUCUGAAAGUGGUAUGUUG
rnacentral:snoRNA from 1 species